AAAAGCGAAUAAGGGCGCACGGAGGAUGCCUAGACAACAAGAGCCGAAGAAGGACGUGAUAAGCUGCGAAAAGCUAGGACGAGUUGCACAUUAGCGUUGACUCCUAGAUAUCCGAAUGGGAAAACCUAUAUACUUGAAGAGUAUAUACGAAAGAGGUAAGUGGGCGAACUGAAACAUCUAAGUAGCCUGAGGAAAAUAAAGUAAAAACGAUUCUCUAAGUAGCGGCGAGCGAACGGGGAAGAGCCUAAACCAUGGUAGUGUUAAAGUUGGCACGUUGCUAUUAUGGGGUAGAGGGAUAGUUGAUUGACGGAUAGCCAUGAAGUCGACAAAUUAAAUGACGUAAGAGGAACACAACUGGAAAGUUGGACCGAAGAAGGUGAUAGUCCUGUAGAUUGUAAAAUCAUUUAAAUGUUUUAACUAAUCCCGAGUAGUAUCGGACACGAGGAAUCCGGUGUGAAUCAGCGAGGACCAUAUCUCGUAAGGCUAAAUACUCUUGUUGAUCGAUAGAGAAUAGUACCGUGAGGGAAAGGUGAAAAGAACCCUGAGUAAGGGAGUGAAAUAGAACCUGAAACCGUGUGCUUACAAACGGUAGGAGCCCUUUGGGGUGACUGCGUGGAUUUUGGUUAAUCAUCCUGCGAGUUAUGAUGUGUGGCAAGGUUAAGUAAACGGAGCCGAAGGGAAACCGAGUCUUAAUAGGGCGAUAAGUCGCAUGUCAUAGACGCGAAACCUAGUGAUCUAGGCCUGUCCAGGUUGAAGCUGGGGUAAGACCCAGUGGAGGACCGAACUCACCACCGUUGAAAAGUUGGGAGAUGAGAUAGGUUUAGGGGUGAAAAGCCAAUCGAACUAGGAGAUAGCUCGUUCUCUCCGAAAUGCAUUUAGGUGCAGCCUUAAUAAAGAUAUAUGGGGGUAGAGCUCUGUAUGGCCUAGGGGGCGUAUAGCUUACCGAAGUCAAGCAAACUGCGAAUACCAUAUAUUAAUUAUUAGGAGUGAGUCCAUGGAUGACAAGGUCCAUGGACGAGAGGGAAACAGCCCAGACCAUCAGCUAAGGUCCCAAAUUAUGUCUAAGUGGGGAAGGAGGUGGAUACUCACAAACAACCAGGAGGUUGGCUUAGAAGCAGCCAUACCUUUAAAGAGUGCGUAAUAGCUCACUGGUCGAGAGUAUCUGCGCCGAAGAUUUAACGGGGCUAAGACAUAAACCGAAGCUAUGGAAACUAGAUUUAUAUCUAGUUUGGUAGGAGAGCGUUCUGUAAGCCGUAGAAGGUGUACUGUAAGGUAUAUUGGAGGUAUCAGAAGUGAGAAUGCAGGAAUGAGUAGCGAGAAAGAGAGUGAGAAUCUCUCUGGCCGAAAGUCCAAGGUUUCCAGAGGAAGGUUUGUCCGCUCUGGGGGAGUCGGGACCUAAGUCGAGGCUUAAAAGCGUAGGCGAAUGGAAAAUAGGUUAAUAUUCCUAUACCACUAUAUAAACGUUAUUAGAGAUGGAGUGACGCAGGAAGGUAUGUGAGAAGGGCGACGGUUGUCCCUUUCUAAGGAAGUAGUGUGAACAUGGAGGCAAAUCCACAUGUUUAAACAUGAGAUCUUAUGGGUAAGUAGCUUAGGCUAUAAGUCACAAAUCCUAUACUGCCGAGAAAAACUUCUAUUGAGAUUAUGUAGUGCCCGUACUGUAAACCGACACAGGUGGACUGGGUGAGUAACCCGAGGCCGACAGGAUAACUCUAGCUAAGGAACUCUGCAAAAUGGCCCCGUAACUUCGGGAGAAGGGGUACCUAUGUUAUGUGAUAAGAUAAACACUUUGAGCAGAAAUAGGUCGCAGUGAAGAGUCCCAAGCAACUGUUUACCAAAAACACAGGUCUAUGCUAAGCUGAAAGGCGACGUAUAUGGGCUGACACCUGCCCAGUGCUGGAAGGUUAAGAGGAGGAUUGAGAGAUUCGAAUUGAAGCCCCAGUGAACGGCGGCCGUAACUAUAACGGUCCUAAGGUAGCGAAAUUCCUUGUCGGGUAAGUUCCGACCUGCACGAAUGG
rnacentral:rRNA from 1 species